GGAAGUAAAAUCGUAACAAGGUUUCCGUAGGUGAACCUGCGGAAGGAUCAUUAUUGUAUAACCGAGGUGCGAGGGCUGUCGCUGACCCGAAAGGUCGUGCACGCCCGAGUGCCCUCACACACAUCCAUCUCACCCCUAUGUGCACCACCGCGUGGGUCCCCCUUUGGCUUGUUCGGAGGGGGGCUUACGCUUUCACACAAACUUUGUAUGCAGUGUAGAAUGUAUUUUUUGUUUUUGCGAUCACGCAAUCAAUACAACUUUCAACAACGGAUCUCUUGGCUCUC
rnacentral:misc_RNA from 1 species